UGGGGGAUAUUGCACAAUGGGGGAAACCCUGACGCAGCAACGCCGCGUGAUCGAAGAAGGUCUUCGGAUUGUAAACUUCUUUUACCAGGGACGAAGGACGUGACGGUACCUGGAGAAAAAGCCACGGCUAACUACGUGCCAGCAGCCGCGGUAAUACGUAGGGGGCAAGCGUUAUCCGGAUUUACUGGGUGUAAAGGGAGCGUAGACGGAACGGCAAGUUUGAAGUGAAAUACCUGGGCUUAACCCGGGACUGCUUUGAAACUGUCGAUCUAGAGUGUCGGAGAGGUAAGUGGAAUUCCUGGUGUAGUAGUGAAAUGCGUAGAUAUCAGGAAGAACACCGGAGGCGAAGGCGGCUUACUGGACGAUAACUGACGUUGAGGCUCGAAAGCGUGGGGAGCAAACAGGAUUAGAUACCCUGGUAGU
rnacentral:rRNA from 1 species